rnacentral:rRNA from 1 species
CCUACGGGUGGCUGCAGUGAGGAAUAUUGGUCAAUGGGCGGGAGCCUGAACCAGCCAAGUCGCGUGAGGGACGACGGCCCUAUGGAUUGUAAACCUCUUUUGUCGGGGAACAAAGGCGCCCACGGGUGGGCGGAUGAGUGUACCCGAAGAACAAGCAUCGGCUAACUCCGUGCCAGCAGCCGCGGUAAUACGGAGGAUGCGAGCGUUAUCCGGAUUUAUUGGGUUUAAAGGGUGCGUAGGCGGACGGUAAAGUCAGCGGUAAAAAUGCGGUGCUCAACGCCGUACAGCCGUUGAAACUGGCAGGCUUGAGUGGGCUGGAGGUAGGCGGAAUGCGUGGUGUAGCGGUGAAAUGCAUAGAGAUCACGCAGAACUCCGAUUGCGAAGGCAGCAUACCG